rnacentral:rRNA from 1 species
CCUACGGGAAGCAGCAGUGGGGAAUAUUGCACAAUGGGCGAAAGCCUGAUGCAGCGACGCCGCGUGAGGGAUGACGGCCUUCGGGUUGUAAACCUCUUUCAGUAGGGAAGAAGCCCUUCGGGGUGACGGUACUUGCAGAAGAAGCGCCGGCUAACUACGUGCCAGCAGCCGCGGUAAUACGUAGGGCGCAAGCGUUAUCCGGAAUUAUUGGGCGUAAAGAGCUCGUAGGCGGUUUGUCGCGUCUGCUGUGAAAGACCGGGGCUCAACUCCGGUUCUGCAGUGGGUACGGGCAGACUAGAGUGCAGUAGGGGAGACUGGAAUUCCUGGUGUAGCGGUGAAAUGCGCAGAUAUCAGGAGGAACACCGAUGGCGAAGGCAGGUCUCUGGGCUGUAACUGACGCUGAGGAGCGAAAGCAUGGGGAGCGAACAGGAUUAGAUACCCUGGUAGUCCAUGCCGUAAACGUUGGGCACUAGGUGUGUGGACAUUCCACGUUUUCCGCGCCGUAGCUAACGCAUUAAGGCCCCGCCUGGCCUGACGCCCCCCCCGC